CUACUAUGUUCAGAGUUUGAUCCUGGCUCAGGAUGAACGCUGGCGGCGUGCUUAACACAUGCAAGUCGAACGAAGCACUUAUGAUUGAGAUUUCGGUUGAUUGAUUAAGUGACUUAGUGGCGGACGGGUGAGUAACGCGUGGGUAACCUGCCUCGUACAGGGGGAUAACAGUUAGAAAUGACUGCUAAUACCGCAUAACCCGCUAGGGCCGCAUGGCCCGGACGGAAAAGAUUUAUCGGUACGAGAUGGACCCGCGUCUGAUUAGCUAGUUGGUGAGGUAACGGCCCACCAAGGCGACGAUCAGUAGCCGGCCUGAGAGGGUGACCGGCCACAUUGGGACUGAGACACGGCCCAA
rnacentral:rRNA from 1 species